rnacentral:rRNA from 1 species
GAUGAACGCUGGCGGCGUGCCUAAUACAUGCAAGUCGAGCGAACAGACGAGGAGCUUGCUCCUCUGACGUUAGCGGCGGACGGGGGAGUAACACGUGGAUAACCUACCUAUAAGACUGGGAUAACUUCGGGAAACCGGAGCUAAUACCGGAUAAUAUAUUGAACCGCAUGGUUCAAUAGUGAAAGACGGUUUUGCUGUCACUUAUAGAUGGAUCCGCGCCGCAUUAGCUAGUUGGUAAGGUAACGGCUUACCAAGGCAACGAUGCGUAGCCGACCUGAGAGGGUGAUCGGCCACACUGGAACUGAGACACGGUCCAGACUCCUACGGGAGGCAGCAGUAGGGAAUCUUCCGCAAUGGGCGAAAGCUUGACGGAGCAACGCCGCGUGAGUGAUGAAGGUCUUCGGAUCGUAAAACUCUGUUAUUAGGGAAGAACAAAUGUGUAAGUAACUAUGCACGUCUUGACGGUACCUAAUCAGAAAGCCACGGCUAACUACGUG